rnacentral:tRNA from 1 species
GGAAAGAUGACCGAGCGGUCGAAGGUGCACGAUUGGAAAUCGUGUGUACCCGAAAGGUACCGGGGGUUCGAAUCCCCCUCUUUCCG